AAAAUUUUAGAAGCCGUCCCUCUCUCCCUCUUUCACAAAAUUUAUGGUUUUCCCCCACUUCUAUCUCUCACAGUAGACUGCACGAGGUGACUAACUCGCUGUCAAGGAAAUUGCCUUAGUUGCAUUCGGAGAGUUAUGAACAGAGAAAUCUAAACAGCCGGAAUGAGAUCUUAGCGGUUUGAAGGCGUUACGUGAGAGUUUGGCGAUGGCUUUCCGCGAGCGGAGAGAAGCCACCGGGUUUGCUUGACGCACGCUUCAUAUUACGUACAUUCUUUGAGAUUUACAAUUAGUCACCGAUGACGAAGGCCAGGUGCGUGGAUUGUGCAUGUCACCAGGAAAGUGCUCCAACCACCUUGUGUGAGGUGACGAAUUGGCUUACAUAAUUAAAAUCCACGAUAUGGGCACAAUAAUAUUGUUUGACCAAAAAAAAGGCUCCUUGGAUUUUACUUUUUAGGAAUUAUUCUAUUUUAUUAGAUUAAAUCUUCAUUUAUUUGACAAAAAGAAACACUAUGAAUACC